AUACUACUCCCUCCGUUCAAAAUUACUUGUCGCAGAAAUGGAUGUAUCUAGACGUAUUUUAAUUCUAAAUACAUCCAUUUCUGAGACAAGUAAUUCCGAACGGAGGGAGUAGGUC
rnacentral:pre_miRNA from 1 species